rnacentral:rRNA from 1 species
GACGAACGCUGGCGGCGUGCCUAAUACAUGCAAGUCGAGCGGACUGAUUAAGAGCUUGCUCUUAUGACGUUAGCGGCGGACGGGUGAGUAACACGUGGGCAACCUGCCCUGUAGAUCGGGAUAACACCGAGAAAUCGGUGCUAAUACCGGGUAAUAUCUGAGAUCACAUGAUCUUAGGUUAAAAGAUGGCUCCGGCUAUCACUACAGGAUGGGCCCGCGGCGCAUUAGCUAGUUGGUAAGGUAAUGGCUUACCAAGGCGACGAUGCGUAGCCGACCUGAGAGGGUGAUCGGCCACACUGGGACUGAGACACGGCCCAGACUCCUACGGGAGGCAGCAGUAGGGAAUCUUCCGCAAUGGACGAAAGUCUGACGGAGCAACGCCGCGUGAGUGAUGAAGGGUUUCGGCGCGUAAAGCUCUGUUGUUAGGGAAGAAACAGUACCGAACGAACUAGGUCGGUACCUUGACGGUACCUAACCAGAAAGCCACGGCUAACUACGUG